AACGAACGCUGGCGGCAUGCCUAACACAUGCAAGUCGAACGAUGCUUUCGGGCAUAGUGGCGCACGGGUGCGUAACGCGUGGGAAUCUGCCCUUGUGUUCGGAAUAACAGUGAGAAAUUGCUGCUAAUACCGGAUGAUGUCUUCGGACCAAAGAUUUAUCGCCCAGGGAUGAGCCCGCGUAGGAUUAGCUAGUUGGUGGGGUAAUGGCCUACCAAGGCGACGAUCCUUAGCUGGUCUGAGAGGAUGAUCAGCCACACUGGGACUGAGACACGGCCCAGACUCCUACGGGAGGCAGCAGUGGGGAAUAUUGGACAAUGGGCGCAAGCCUGAUCCAGCAAUGCCGCGUGAGUGAUGAAGGCCUUAGGGUUGUAAAGCUCUUUUACCCGGGAUGAUAAUGACAGUACCGGGAGAAUAAGCUCCGGCUAACUCCGUG
rnacentral:rRNA from 1 species